GGCCGGGCCGCCGGCGUUUGACCGCGCUUGGGUGGCCUGGGACCCUGUGGGAGGCUUCCCCGGCGCCGAGAGCCCUGGCUGACGGCUGAUGGGGAGGAGCCGGCGGGCGGAGAAGGCCACGGGCUCCCCAGUACCCUCACCUGCGCGGGAUCGCUGCGGGAAACCAGGGGGAGCUUCGGCAGGGCCUGCAGAGAGGACAAGCGAAGUUAAGAGCCUAGUGUACUUGCCGCUGGGAGCUGGGCUAGGCCCCCAACCUUUGCCCUGAAGAUGCUGGCAGAGCAGGAUGUUGUAACGGGAAAUGUCAGAAAUACUGCAAGCAAACUGAAAACAACCCAUCCAUGUAGGUUAUUCAAGGACACGGAAAAGCCAACACCAUGGUAGCAUUAAUGAAAGUUUACCAAGAGGAAGAUGAAGCCUACCAGGAAUUAGUUACCGUGGCAACCACGUUCUUCCAGUACUUAUUGCGGCCAUUUAGGGCUAUGCGAGAAGUUGCAACUUUAUAAGUCCUUGGAUGAGGAUGACCUAGGUCCUAGAAGGGUAGUUGCCCUGGAGAAAGAAGCUGAAGAAUGGACCAGACGGGCUGGAGAAGCUGUCGUCUCUAUUCAAGAUAUCACAGUGAAUUAUUUUAAGGAGACAGUAAAAGCAUUAGCAGGAGUUUCUGAUAUAUUGCACAGAAUCAACAAGAUAUAAAGCAGAAUGAUGAUCCUGGUUUUUUGGUCAAACUAUCCAUAUGAGCCUGUCUGUCUAGCUAGUCAUAGAAACAAUAUGGAAGCAAGUGUGCCAAAAUAUAAGAAGCAGUUGCCUCAACUAGGAAUGCAAAAAGAAAUGGAACAGGAUGUGAAGAGACUUGGCCAGGCUGCCUGGGCCACAGCAAUUCCCAGGUUGGAAAAACUUAAGCUAAUGCUAGCUCAAGAGACUCUGCAACUCAUGAGAGCGAAAGAAUUGUAUUUAAAUUGCAAAAGAGCUGAAAUUCAGGGAAAGAUGGAAGAUCUUCCAGAACAAGAAAAAAAUAUAAAUGUUGUAGAUGAAUUAGAAAUACAAUUUUAUGAAAUUCAGUUAGAACUAUAUGAAGUUAAAUUUGAGAUAUUAAAAAACAAAGAAAUACUGCUUACUACACAGUUGGACUCUCUUGAAAGACUUAUAAAAGUUAAACCUUAGAUUGACUUGGGUCUGUUUCUGAGUUGUUCUCCUCCAUUGGUUCGUGAGUGGCUUCUGCUGCUGGCUCCAUACUGUUCCCACGACUGUCUUGGAGGCACAUUUUAGGGUCUGAAAAACAGGAUGAAGUUGUCUAUUACGAUCCAUGUGAAAGUCCAGAGGAACUUAGUCAUUGACUGUGGUGGGGCUGCAGGACGAUAAGAAUUCGGAAGUGAAAGAACUCAGAAGGCAGUGCCAGCAGCUGGAGUCUAUUAAACGGGGCAGGAUCUGUGUCAAAAGAGCUUCUCUCCAGAGUAGAAAGGAUCAGUGCAAAGAAAAUCAUUGGCUCAGAUUGCAACAGGCUGAAGAAAGCAUAAGAUAUUCUCGUCAGCAUCACAGUAUUCAGAUGAAAAGAGACAAGAUAAAAAGGAGCAAAAGAAAAAAGAAUGGGUCAACCAAGAACGUCAAACACUCCAACGAUUGAGAGCAUUUAAAGAUAGAAAUAAUGAGAGAGAUUGUCUCUCUUGAAGUUCUCAGUGCCUGUGCAUUGCUGCCACUACACAGCUAGUAUCAUGACAGCAGCUUCAGAACCAGAGCUGGCUUCCAGGUUGUGUGUGUGAGCCAGAUUUUAUUGCAAGUGUUUGAAAGACUAUUGCAAAUAUCGGAUAUUGCCAGACAGUUGGUAAAAAGCAAAUUGAGUCUAUUGAGAAAUUAAUUCACCAGCUGAAGGAAGCACAUUUGCCUUACAGUCAUCAGAUAUUCUACCCACCAGACUCAUCUCCGAGAUAGCAUCCUAAUGAGCUUCCUAAACCAACUAAACAUGAGCAGGAAGCAUCAGUCGUCAAAACUGACUCUUUUCAGCCAAUCAGCUGACUGCACAAACUGUAUGGCAUUGAGGAAAGGAAGAACAUUCUGAAAGUUUUUUUUUUUCAUUCUGCCCUCACUUUGUUGGUUUCUCAGUUUUACAGAUGCAGUGUCAUGCGCAGAACCCUGUAAAUGAGCAUAGUUCAUUCAAGUAUAUAAAGUGCUUUCGUGUAUUAUUAUUCAGUGGAAUAAAAUGAAUGUUAACAGG
rnacentral:lncRNA from 1 species